UACGUAGGGUGCGAGCGUUGUCCGGAAUUAUUGGGCGUAAAGAGCUCGUAGGCGGUGUGUCACGUCGGCCGUGAAAACCUGGGGCUUAACUCUGGGCGUGCGGUCGAUACGGGCAUCACUAGAGUUCGGCAGGGGAGACUGGAAUUCCUGGUGUAGCGGUGAAAUGCGCGGAUAUCGUUUGGAACGCCAAUGGUGAAAACAGGUUGCUGGGAGUGUGCUGGCGCUGAGACACGAAAGCCAGGGGAGCGAACGGG
rnacentral:rRNA from 1 species